UACGGAGGGUGCAAGCGUUAUCCGGAUUUACUGGGUUUAAAGGGUGUGUAGGCGGACUAUUAAGUCAGUGGUGAAAUCCCGAGGCUCAACCUCGGAACUGCCUUUGAUACUAUUAGUCUUGAAUGUUGUUGAGGUGGGCGGAACGGGUCAUGUAGCGGUGAAAUGCAUAGAUACAAUCAAGAACACCGAUUGCGUAGGCAGCUAACUAGGCUGUAACUGACGCUGAGGCACGAAAGCGUGGGGAGCGAACAGG
rnacentral:rRNA from 1 species